AUGAGUUAGGGUCUUCUAGGCUCGAUCUCCAACCCUUUGUAUAACUACCAUGUUGCUUUGGCGGGCCCGUCUCUAACCGGACCGCCGAGGGUUUUGUUAACCCUUGGUCAGUGCUCGUCAGUAGCCCACACACAAAUUCUUUUAACCAUGUUAAAUCUGAAAAUAGUUAAAUAAACUA
rnacentral:misc_RNA from 2 species